AGCUUUGCGCAGUGGUAAUAUCGUAACCAAUGAGGUUCAUCGGAGGUGCGAUUUUUGCUAGUUGAAAACUUUAACCGAUACCCCGCCGUGUGGACAUGAAACGGGUGGACUGUGUUUGCGCCUAAAUACUGCAUUUGCGCCUAUAUGCA